GCGGACGCGAGUAGCUCGGCAGGGGGACUCGCUUGGCUUUCGUGCCAUCCGUGGACACAGUCGCGCGGGUCUUUGUGGGAAGAAACAAAUCACAAAAGCAAUUAAGAGAGCUCAAACAAUGGGUUACUCUCAUCUGGAUUAUUGUAGUCACCUUGUCACUGAUGGAUUCUUGUGCUGUCACCCAGGCUGGAGUGCAGUAAGUAGUGUGAUCUCAGCUCACUGCAGCCUCCGCCUCCCAGAUUCAAGCGAUUCUCCUGCCUUAGCCUCCUGAGUAGUUGGGAUUACAGGUGCGCACAAUGCCUGGCUAAUUUUUAUAUUGUUAAUAGAGUUGGGGUUUCACCAUGUUGGCCAAGCUGGUCUUGAACUCCUGACCUCAGGUGAUCCACCCACCUUGGCCUCGCAAAGUACUGGGAUUACAGGCAUGAGCCACCAUGCCCAGCCUAAAGUCAAUUAUCUCACCACAGACCACAAGGCUACUUUGAUCCAACCAGCCCAUCUUAUAUACUACCACUUUCCUGUUUUCUCACAGUGCUCCAAUCACACUGGCCUUCUUUCUGGACUUCAAACAUGCCAAAUAUACUCUCCUUGAGGGACAUAGCACUUACUGCUACCUUUGUUUGGAAUGUUCUUUCCCAGAUACCCAUGUGGCACACCCAAAUGCUUGAGUGGCCCCUUAUUAGUGAGGCCUUCCUAUAGCAUUAUAUAUAAGAUGGAUAUAAGGUAGGACUCAGAACAUACUCCCUAUCCUCCUUACUCUACUUCACCUGACUCCAAACACUGUCACCACCUGACGUAGUACAUAUUUUAUUUUUUAUUUGUUUAGCAUCUGUCUGCCUCUAACUAGAAUGCAAGCUCCAUGAGGACAGAGAUUUUUGUUUUGUUUACCGCCAUAUUGUCAGCAGCUAGAGCAAUGUCUGGCAUGUAGUAGCACUCAAUGAAUAUUAAUUGAAUAAAUGAGCUACCUAAAAAAUAACUGCAUUGAUAUCAUAACCCAAGUAGUGUCUGAAAUAAUGUAAUGAAUUACCAGAAUGCAAAUGAAUUAUUUUCCAGAUGUCUUUAAGUUGGGUGUUGGAAAGUCAAUAUGCAUUUUUCCUACAAAUAUAAAGUAAGUGCUGUUAUUAUCCCCAUCUUAUGGAUAAGACAUCUGAUAUUUAGCUUAUGCAACUAUGCCUGUUUUCUGAUUUUGAGGCAUGUACCUCACCACUUAUACUAAAUUUCCAGGUCAGAUCAUAAAACCUUACGUAAGCCAUAAAAUUCAGAUAUAAAGUAGUCUAAAAAAAGGAAGGACCAGAAUGGAAGAUACCUAUCUUACACACAAACAGCUGUAUCUAGAGUAUAGGCUUCUUAGCUUUCUAGAUGUUUCACCCAGUUAUAGCUGUUCUUUGAUAGUGAUACAGUGAUAGAGGCAGGAGGCAGAGAAAUUCUAGGCAGAUGGGAAGAUCCCUGGCAAAGCACCACCCUAAAGCUGAAAAGCUUGAAACCACUGCCUAAAGUGAGAACUUAUAUUCCCGUUUUCCUGCUUGAAUGUUGUCUUUUCCUAAACUACCCAUAGCCUGCCCCACCCUAUCUUGUGCCUAUAAAGACCCCAGACUCAGCCAGCAGAGGGGAGAAACAGCUGGACAUCAGAGAGAAGCAGCCGGACUUCAGAGGGACAGCUUGAUGACAUAACUUUGGAGAAGAAUGCAGCCAGAGAUGGGUGGACUCCAGGGAAAGAUUACCUGCCGCCCCACCCUCUUUUCAGCUCCCCUUCCUGCUGAGAGCCACUUUCAUCGGCAAUAAAAUACACUGCAUUUGCUAUCCUUC
rnacentral:lncRNA from 1 species